rnacentral:rRNA from 1 species
CAGCCGCCACGGGAAUACGGAGGGUGCAAGCGUUAAUCGGAAUUACUGGGCGUAGAGCGCACGCAGGCGGUCUGACAAGUCAGAUGUGAAAUCCCCGGGCUUAACCUGGGAGCUGCAUUUGAAACUGUCAGGCUGGAGUCUUGUAGAGGGGGGUGGAAUUCCAGGUGUAGCGGUGAAAUGCGUAGAGAUCUGGAGGAAUACCGGUGGCGAAGGCGGCCCCCUGGACAAAGACUGACGCUCAGGUGCGAAAGCGUGGGGAGCAAACAGGAUUAGAUACCCGGGUAGUCCCUGUCUCUUAUAC